UAAUACUUAGGAAUCUACCUAGUAGUGGGGGAUAGCACGGGGAAACUCGUAUUAAUACCGCAUACGUCCUACGGGAGAAAGGGGGCAACUUGUUGCUCUCGCUAUUAGAUGAGCCUAAGUCGGAUUAGCUAGAUGGUGGGGUAAAGGCCUACCAUGGCGACGAUCUGUAGCUGGUCUGAGAGGAUGAUCAGCCACACCGGGACUGAGACACGGCCCGGACUCCUACGGGAGGCAGCAGUGGGGAAUAUUGGACAAUGGGGGAAACCCUGAUCCAGCCAUGCCGCGUGUGUGAAGAAGGCCUUUUGGUUGUAAAGCACUUUAAGCAGUGAAGAAGACUCCUCGGUUAAUACCCGGGGACGAUGACAUUAGCUGCAGAAUAAGCACCGGCUAACUCUGUGCCAGCAGCCGCGGUAAUACAGAGGGUGCAAGCGUUAAUCGGAAUUACUGGGCGUAAAGCGAGCGUAGGUGGCUUGAUAAGUCAGAUGUGAAAUCCCCGGGCUUAACCUGGGAACUGCAUCUGAAACUGUUAGGCUAGAGUAGGUGAGAGGGAAGUAGAAUUUCAGGUGUAGCGGUGAAAUGCGUAGAGAUCUGAAGGAAUACCGAUGGCGAAGGCAGCUUCCUGGCAUCAUACUGACACUGAGGCUCGAAAGCGUGGGUAGCAAACAGGAUUAGAUACCCUGGUAGUCCACGCCGUAAACGAUGUCUACUAGUCGUUGGGUCCCUUGAGGACUUAGUGACGCAGCUAACGCAAUAAGUAGACCGCCUGGGGAGUACGGCCGCAAGGUUAAAACUCAAAUGAAUUGACGGGGGCCCGCACAAGCGGUGGAGCAUGUGGUUUAAUUCGAUGCAACGCGAAGAACCUUACCUGGUCUUGACAUAUCUAGAAUCCUGCAGAGAUGCGGGAGUGCCUUCGGGAAUUAGAAUACAGGUGCUGCAUGGCUGUCGUCAGCUCGUGUCGUGAGAUGUUGGGUUAAGUCCCGCAACGAGCGCAACCCUUGUCCUUAGUUACCAGCGGGUUAAGCCGGGAACUCUAAGGAUACUGCCAGUGACAAACUGGAGGAAGGCGGGGACGACGUCAAGUCAUCAUGGCCCUUACGACCAGGGCUACACACGUGCUACAAUGGUAGGUACAGAGGGCAGCUACACAGCGAUGUGAUGCGAAUCUCAAAAAGCCUAUCGUAGUCCAGAUUGGAGUCUGCAACUCGACUCCAUGAAGUAGGAAUCGCUAGUAAUCGCGGAUCAGAA
rnacentral:rRNA from 1 species